rnacentral:rRNA from 1 species
CUAUUUUAUGGUACUGCUGUGUCUGGCUAGGAUAACGCUGGCGGCGUGCCUAACACAUGCAAGUCGAACGCCCUGCGUCUCGCAAGAGAGGCAGGGAGUGGCGGACGGGUGAGUAACACAUGGGUGACCUACCCCGCAGUGAGGGAUACCGGCGAGAAAUCGCCGACAAGCCCGCAUGGGGUCUCUUGGGUAGAGCCAAGAGAGCAAAGUCUCGCAAGAGGCGCUGCGGGAUGGGCCUGUGGCCGAUUAGCUGGUUGGGGGGGUAAGAGCCUCCCAAGGCGACGAUCGGUAGCUGGUCUGAGAGGACGAUCAGCCACACUGGGAUUGAGAACGGCCCAGACUCCUACGGGGGGCAGCAGUGAGGAAUUUUCCGCAAUGGACGCAAGUCUGACGGAGCAACGCCGCGUGCAGGAAGACGCUUUUCGGAGUGUAAACUGCUUUUCUGUGGGACGAGCAAGGACGGUACCACAGGAAGAAGCCCCGGCUAACUACGUGCCAGCAGCCGCGGUAAUACGUAGGGGGCGAGCGUUGUCCGGAGUUACUGGGCGUAAAGGGCAUGCAGGCGGUCGGACGCGUUUCGGCUGACAGCGGGUGGCUUCACUACCCGAGUGGUCGAAAGACGGUUUGACUUGAGGACGCGAGAGGGACACGGAAUUCCGGGUGGAGUGGUGAAAUGCGUAGAGAUCCGGAGGAACACCGAAAGCGAAGGCAGUGUCCUGGCGCGUAACUGACGCUGAGGUGCGAAGGCCAGGGAGCGAACGGGAUUAGAUACCCCGGUAGUCCUGGCGUAACGAUGACACAGUGUGGGAGUAUCGACCUCGUGCGAGUACAACUAGUGUCGCUGGGGAGUACGUCGCAGGCUGAACUCAGGGAA